AUUUUGAAAAAUAUAUUUUAAAAACAAAUAAAAAAUCAGAUUUUGAAAAAUUUUCUUACAUUUGUAAGCUUAUUUCUCAAACAAAACAUAGAAAUAUUGCACAUUUAAAAGAAAUUAUUGAAAUGGCAUAUACUAUGAAUAUUUCUUGAAAGAGAAAAUAUAAGAAGCAACAACUCCUAAGUAUGCUUGAUAAGGUGAUGAUAUAGUCUGAACUCUAUAGAAAUGUAGAGAUAACUAAAAUUGAAGUUCCGACCCGCACGAAUGGCAUAACGGUCUGAGUACUGUCUCAAGCAUAGGCUCGGUGAAAUUGCAAUGUCGGUAAAAAUGCCGACUAUCUGCAGCAAGACGGAAAGACCCUAUGGAGCUUUACUAUAACUUGGUAUUGAAUUAUGGUUUAAGGUGUGCAGGAUAGGUGGGAGACUUUGAAGUAGGAGCGUCAGCUUUUAUGGAGUCAUCCUUGAGAUACCACCCUUCUUAAAUUGUAAUUCUAACCCCAAAAAUUGGGGGACAGUGCUUGGUGGGUAGUUUAACUGGGGCGGUUGCCUCCUAAAGAGUAACGGAGGCGCACAAAGGUUGACUAUCUUCGGAUGGAAAUCGAAGAGAUAGUGUAUUCGCAUAAGUCAGCUUGACUGAGAGACUUACAAGUCGACCAGACACGAAAGUGGGUGAAAAUGAUCCGGCAUUAACAUGUGGAAGUGAUGUCGCUCAACGGAUAAAAGUUACCCUAGGGAUAACAGGCUGAUCGCAUCCAAGAGUUCACAUCGACGAUGCGGUUUGGCACCUCGAUGUCGGCUCGUCGCAUCCUGGGGGUGGAGAAGCUCCCAAGGGUAUGGCUGUUCGCCAUUUAAAGCGGUACGCGAGCUGGGUUCAGAACGUCGUGAGACAGUUUGGCCCCUAUCUGCUGUAGGCGUUUAGAAAUUUGAGAAAAUCUGCUUCUAGUACGAGAGGACCGAAGUGGACGAACCUCUGGUGUAUCGGUUGUUUGGUAUACAGGCAUUGCCGAGUAGCUAAGUUCGGAAGGGAUAACCACUGAAAGCAUCUAAGUGGGAAGCCCAUUUCAAGAUUAGAUUUCUCUGCCUCGAGCAAUAAGUCCCCUUGGAGACUACAAGGUUGAUAGGUUGCAGGUGUAAGAGUAGUGAUACUUUCAGCCGAGCAAUACUAAUCGGACGAAUGAAUUUUAUUA
rnacentral:rRNA from 1 species